rnacentral:rRNA from 8 species
UUAAAUUGAAGAGUUUGAUCAUGGCUCAGAUUGAACGCUGGCGGCAGGCCUAACACAUGCAAGUCGAACGGUAACAGGAAGCAGCUUGCUGCUUCGCUGACGAGUGGCGGACGGGUGAGUAAUGUCUGGGAAACUGCCUGAUGGA